rnacentral:rRNA from 1 species
CGCAAGCCUGACGGAGCAAGACCGCGUGCGGGAUGACGGCCUAAUGGUUGUAAACCCCUUUUCUCUGGGAAGAUGGUGACGGUACCAGAGGAAUCAGCCUCGGCUAACUCCGUGCCAGCAGCCGCGGUAAUACGGAGGAGGCAAGCGUUAUCCGGAAUUAUUGGGCGUAAAGCGUCCGUAGGUGGUUAUUCAAGUCUGCUGUCAAGGCGUGAGGCUUAACUCCAUAGAGGCAGUGGAAACUGGAUGACUUGAGUGCGGUAGGGGUCGAGGGAAUUCCCAGUGUAGCGGUGAAAUGCGUAGAUAUUGGGAAGAACACCAGUGGCGAAAGCGCUCGACUGGGCCUGCACAGACACUGAGGGACGAAAGCUAGGGGAGCG